UACAGAGGGUGCGAGCGUUGUCCGGAAUCACUGGGCGUAAAGGGCGCGUAGGUGGCCUGAUAAGUAGGGGGUGAAAUCUCGUGGCUCAACUGCGAGGCUGCCUCCUAAACUGUCGGGCUUGAGCAGAGUAGAGGCAGGUGGAAUUCCCGGUGUAGCGGUGGAAUGCGUAGAGAUCGGGAAGAACAUCAGUGGCGAAGGCGGCCUGCUGGGCUGUUGCUGACGCUGAGGCGCGACAGCGUGGGGAGCAAACAGG
rnacentral:rRNA from 1 species